GAACAUAUGUUUUACUUAUAUGUCGUCAUUUAUUACGGGGAGGUAUGCCCCAGAAAUCGUCCUAGGAGCCGUUUUUGUUACAUUAAUAAUUGUGGCUAUAUGUCUUGGAUUGGCUUGUACGAAAUUUGAUUUUACGAGAUUCAUACUAAUAGUUUGUGUUGCGGGUAUAGCAGUAAUGUUUGCCGGUUUUGGCUGUGUGGUAAUAUCUGUCGUACUGGGUAUUAAAUUAACUAUUUUAAAAAUAGUUUUAACGAUUAUUUCAUCUGUUAUCUCCAGUGUAGCUUUGAUCAUAGAACUCCAGAUGAUUUUGGGUGGCAAAAAUGUGGAAUUAGGCUUGGGUGACUACGCUUAUGGCGCUUUUAGGGUCUACACAUCAAUAAUGCAAAUGUUCUUUCGAAUGCUAUAUAUUAUACACUCGUUGGUUAAUUUAGAAGAUUUAUUAUGAUGAAAAUAAAGUGUUCUUUUUUA